rnacentral:rRNA from 1 species
GACGAACGCUGGCGGCGUGCUUAACACAUGCAACUCGAGCGAUGAAGCACCUUCGGGUGUGAAUUAGCGGCGAACGGGUGAGGAACACGUGAAGAAUCUGCCUUCAACUCUGGGAUAACUCCGGGAAACCGGGGCUAAUACCGGAUAUGAGCCUUGAUCGCAUGAUCGGGGCUGGAAAGUUUUUCGGUUGAAGAUGACUUCGCGGCCUAUCAGCUUGUUGGUGAGGUAAUGGCUCACCAAGGCGACGACGGGUAGCCGGCCUGAGAGGGCGACCGGCCACACUGGGACUGAGACACGGCCCAGACUCCUACGGGAGGCAGCAGUGGGGAAUAUCGGGCAAUGGAGGAAACUCUGACCCAGCGACGCCGCGUGAGGGAUGAAGGCCUUCGGGUUGUAAACCUCUUUCAGUAGGGAAGAAGCGAAAGUGACGGUACCUACAGAAGAAGCACCGGCUAACUAUGUGCCAGCCGCCGCAGUAA